rnacentral:rRNA from 1 species
GAUAAACGCUGGCGGCGUGCCUAACACAUGCAAGUCGAACGCGCUUCGCAAGAAGCGAGUGGCGGACGGGUGAGGAACACGUGGGUGACCUGCCUUUCAGUGAGGAAUACCGGCGAGAAAUCGCCGACAAGACCGCAUACGUUUCUCCAUUCGGUUGGGGAAAGAAAGUCGCAAGACGCUGAAAGAGGGGCCCGCGGCCGAUUAGCUAGCUGGUGAGGUAAUGGCUUACCAGGGCGACGAUCGGUAGCUGGUCUGAGAGGACGAUCAGCCACACUGG